rnacentral:lncRNA from 1 species
CCGUCGCGAGUGCGACUAUGAACGGACUAUGAGUUAACAACCGAGACUUCUUUCGACAUUUUUUCUCCGUAUUGUAUCCGGAUUUCUGUCAAUUCCGCGUCGACAUUCGAAGAGAGCUUCUUUCAUCGUUAGCCUCGUAGAUUCUCAACAGACCGUAGUGUAACUUUAACCAGACAUGAGCACAGCAUUCAAGCCAACAAGAUAAUAAUGGAAUUGUAUGUAUUAUCUCUUCCAACAUACAUGCACAUUGCGAGGUGCGAGUGCACGCGUACCUAGAGGCACACACACCGUAUUAUCAGCACUUGGAAAAAUCGACAUAAAUGGAAAGAAAAUGAGAACAGAAAAUACGAGAAAAUUUAAACAAUUUUUCAAGGUACACAUGGGGAAAGAUUUCAGAAAUUUUGCUUUUACUUGAAUAUAUAUAUAGAUAUAUUAAAUAUAAGAUGAGGUAGCGAGGAAAUAACUAGUGACAAAGUUACUGUUGAUUGUAUCAUUAAUUUAUUUGAAAUAACUAGUUAGUCCUAUUUUCUUAUACCCUAUAUGUACAAACGAUAGCGCGAGAGAUAAAGUAUUAUACAUAUUUUAAUACAUAUUAUUUUAACAAAUGUUAACAAAUAAACGCGAUCUAAUUUUACAUAUGUAAUAAAAUAAUUAUAUUCUAGAUUGGACUGGAUCCAUUUUUUGCGUCCUUAAAGAACUAGCGUGUACAACAAUUAUGCAUACUAAAAUAAGAUAGUAUAUGCUUUCAUCAGACUAACUCAGAAAAUUCCAUGAACAUUUUUGGUUGCACUAAAGGAUUAUCAAGUAAAAUCAUCAUACUCUGCCAAAUAUGUACACAUUGUUCUAUGGUGUUUUCAUAAACUACGACAUUGUUCAAUAAUCACAUGAAACUAUCUUACUCGUAAUUGAGGUAAAGCAUAUAAAAUGUACACAUGUUUAAUAACCACAAGUCUGCUGUAUGUACAUAAUAUUGAAUACUAUGAAACUGAAUUAAUGAAAAUGAUCGAUUAAAUUAAUUGAUCGCCAUUCAAAUUUAUUUUUUUUCUUUAUUUUGGACAGUAACUGCAAACUAUUUUCAUCUUCGAUGAUUUAUUUCUUCUACAAUUGCUUGAAUUAUUUAUAACAGGAAAUACCAGUCUGAAAAAAAGGGAGAAUCUUUCAACAGUAAGAUCUUCCAGUUGUGCAACAAAAUAUUAUAUUAUUUAUAAAUAAUGAAACGCCAUAAUUAUUACGAUAGAAUAUCCAAUUUUCGUCUUGUGUAGAAGAUUCACGUUCGACAUGAAUCGGUCGUCAUAAUUAUCUCUUUAUAUACACUCGUUUGCAAUAUGUACUUCUUUUAGAGAGAUUUCUUAUACUAAAAUUAAUGAGUGACGAAAAAGUAACCCAUCGAUAAUAAUUAUUGAAUUCUCUGUUCUAAUUUGAGAAGAGAUGAGAAUAACACCUUACGCAUUGCUCCAAAAUUAUAAAUUUUCCUGCGUUCUGCAUUCUAUUAUAGUCGAGAUCAAAAUUAACAAUCAUCGACAAUUAUCGUUUAACAAUAUGCUCUUUCCGCUAAUAGUUUGAAAUAAUUUAUUAAAUUAAAGAAAAUUUUA